GUCUCAAGCAUGCUUUGAUAGAAUGAAUGAUCCUGUGACAGGGGUGGACCUGGGGGCCUUGUCAUGCCAGCAAGUGUCCUACCACUGAGCCGCACCCGCUCUGAUGAGGUAGGGAUGUUGAACUCUUUCCUUCCAUGCUGGACCCUGAGGGACCUAGGACCAUGCUGGGAUACAGUAGAUGCUCAACUAAUAGCUCUUGGAUGAGUGAAUGAAUUUGUAUAAUUUAUUUACCUUUGUUAGGUCUCUGCUCAAAGUCACCCCCUUCCCUGAGAUGGGAACCUCCCUAAUGCCGUCAUUUUCAGCCCCUCUCUCAGCUUUAUUUUUCUUCUAUAAUCUCAUCUGUUGCUCCCUUCCCACCUUUUGUUUCACAGGGCCAGCGGGCGUUAUGUCUCAUUGCAGGCUGUAGCCAGGGCCAGCCUUGAACAUACAACCUGUGCAGUCCCACCAGUCCCCAAGCUUGGGUUGAUCUUCUACUGUUGCCUUUGUUUUCUGAAACACAGUGCCAGUAUGUAGUCCACACUGGCCCCCAACUGCCUCAGCCUCCCAGGUGCUGAGGUUACAGGCGUGGGCUACCCCACACAUCCAGCAUAUUUCUACCAGUUUUUGAUCUGUUUUUGGUACCGGGGAUCGAACUCUGGACUUUGUGCUUUCGAAACACAUGGCGGAACCACUGAGCUAAAUCCCCGGCCCCAGUUUUUGAUCAUUUUGAUCAGCAACUGUGAUUUUGUAUUUAGUUGUAUUUACUCUGGGUCUUUUUGGUUUUGGUUUGGUUUGAUUUCUUGACACAGGGUCUUGCUAUGUAUCCCAGACUGGCCUUGAACUUGGAUCCUCCUGCCUCAGCCUCCUGACUGCUGGGAUUACAGGUGUUCAUCACCAUGCCGCACAAGCCCUCAGUCUUAUAAGUGCUGUAGCAAGUCCUGGUUAUGUCCCAGGUGCCGGGAGAGGGUAGGUGCUCUGAGAUUAUGGAAUGAAGGAGUGGACAGCACAGGAGCCCCAAAGGCCAGGGCACAGGCAGAGACACCCACCCCCCGCUCAGGCAAACGUGCACCUUCACAGAAAUCAGCCUGGGUGGAAACCCAGGUGAGGGAGGUAGGGCCUCAGGAACUGGGUGCAGGAGUGGCCCUAAGCCUGUCUUCUCCUGUGGAUGGAAGCUGGCUGGGGCUGGGGGCUGGAUGGCGGAGCAGACUCAGGACGAGGGAGGCUUCUUCCCCCUAACUCAGCCCACAGGGAACGUUGUUCACACUGAGACCUGGAACAUAUACACCCACCCAAGCUCCAGGCCUGGGGGGUAUGUGCGCGCACACACGCACAGGCAGAGGCAUGCGUGAGGCUUCCUACUUGGCUUGAAGGUGGAACUUCCUCUGACCCUUAAUGGUACAUUGUUGAGAUCUGAUCAGAGCUGCAAGAGUAACAGAGUAGCCUAGUGUCAAAUAUCAGGUUAAGCUUCUGUAUGGUUACAGUGCCCAGCUGACCUCAAACUAUCAUCCCCCCAAGUGCUAGAAUUACAGGUGUGUGCCUCCACACCUGGCCAGCCUUACCUACUUUUAUAUAAAAGGUGACACUUGGGGACUCACUGGACUCUUAUGUAAAAUGGGAAGGGACUCAGUUGCUUCACGAUAAGCCUCUUUCCUGAUCUCAAAUUCUCUGGAUCUACUUUCAGUGGAAUCCCCUCUUUAAAUCACUGGAGAUUUAUUGAGCACCUACUAUGUGCCUGGCACUAUCCUAGACCUGAUCCUGCCCUCACUGAGCUCAAACUAAAGGAAGAAGGUAGACAAAAAGCCAGGCUCUGGGACACCCUGCUGGUCUGAUUGGUUGCUGCAGCCCUGGGAACUCUGGACAUAGCCUGGCAUAGGUAGCAACUACUGGGGGAAUACGCAUGAAAUAAGCUAAAAAACAGAUAAAUGAAGUCAAGGUAAGCUUGGCACAUAUGACCUCGCCAAAUUCUCAAUGUGUCCUUCAUUGGUCCCUUAGCAGACGGGGAAACUGAGGCCCAGGAAGGCAAAGCGGCUUGCGGGGGGGGGAGGGGCUCCCCCGCAGCUAAGUGGCAGAGAUGAACUGAUGGGGGAUCCGGGGAUGGGAGACACUGGGAUCGUACAGUUACUCGGGGUCCCCACUGGCGACGCAGCACUGGCAGAAUUAGGGAAUGUUGGGCGCGCACAGAGGAAGCUUUCUGCUCCCGUCCCCAGGUCAGGGGGCUGAGGCUCUGGGGACCCCGUUUUUCGGGUGUCAGGCAGCUCUAGUUCGAAAGAGGGGAGAAACACUAGCUUUUAAUAGGGUCUCUCCAGCAUCCCAAACCACCCCCCUCCCUGACC